rnacentral:rRNA from 1 species
CAGCAGCCGCGGUAAUACAGAGGGUGCGAGCGUUAAUCGGAUUUACUGGGCGUAAAGCGUGCGUAGGCGGCUUUUUAAGUCGGAUGUGAAAUCCCUGAGCUUAACUUAGGAAUUGCAUUCGAUACUGGGAAGCUAGAGUAUGGGAGAGGAUGGUAGAAUUCCAGGUGUAGCGGUGAAAUGCGUAGAGAUCUGGAGGAAUACCGAUGGCGAAGGCAGCCAUCUGGCCUAAUACUGACGCUGAGGUACGAAAGCAUGGGGAGCAAACAGGAUUAGAUACUCCCGUAGUCCCUGUCUCUUAUAC